ACUCGGAUCAGAUUUCCGUCGAUUCCGGCAGUUUUAGAAUGUCGAAACGGGUCUGUGUGAAGUUACGGAGUUGAAUUUGGAGUUGAAACGAAGAAUUGAGGUCCUAAGUUGCUAAAGUUGUGAAAUUUUGAUAAAGAGUUGACUUUGGUCAACAUAUGAGGUUCCGAGGCUCAGAUUGAAAUUCCGAGAGUACCGUUGGUUUCGGGAGGCGAUUCUAAGUCUAGAAUGAGUCUUGGUUGAAUUUUUAGACGCUCCGUUU
rnacentral:lncRNA from 1 species